CGCGUAGGUGGUAAAGCAAGUAAGAUGUGAAAGCCCUGGGCUUAACCUGGGAAGUGCAUCUUAAACUGCUUAACUAGAGUAUGGUAGAGGGUAGUGGAAUUUCCGGUGUAGCGGUGAAAUGCGUAGAGAUCGGAAGGAACGCCAGUGGUGAAGACGACUACCUGGACCAAUACUGACACUGAGGCGCGAAAGCGUGGGGAUCAAACAGGAUUAGAUACCCUGGUAGUCCACGCUGUAAACGAUGAGGACUGGAUGUCAGGCAGCUUGGCUGUUUGGUAUCGAAGCUAACGCGAUAAGUUCUCCGCCUGGGAAGUACGGUCGCAAGAUUAAA
rnacentral:rRNA from 1 species